UGACCCUUAAGCCGAGGGUCACCUAGCCAACUGACGUUGUUAGUGAACCCUGUUGUUCACAUUGAUUGUGCCAAGUGCGGAUUGCACUUGGCUUUUUUUUG
rnacentral:sRNA from 1 species